UAAUAGUCCCGAUUGGAGGGGAAAUCAGCUUUGUCAAAGUUCAAAACUUUGACAAAGUUGAUUGUAACGGAAAGCGGGAACAGGG
rnacentral:sRNA from 1 species